rnacentral:rRNA from 1 species
CGCCAGACUCCUACGGGAGGCAGCAGUGGGGAAUAUUGCACAAUGGGGGAAACCCUGAUGCAGCGACGCCGCGUGAGUGAAGAAGUAUCUCGGUACGUAAAGCUCUAUCAGCAGGAAAGAAAAAAAGUCCUUCGGACUUUGGACGGUACCUGAUUAAGAAGCCCCGGCUAACUACGUGCCAGCAGCCGCGGUAAUACGUAGGGGGCAAGCGUUAUCCGGAUUUACUGGGUGUAAAGGGAGCGUAGACGGCAGCGCAAGUCAGAUGUGAAAACUAUGGGCUCAACCCAUAGCCUGCAUUUGAAACUGUACUUCUUGAGUGCUGGAGAGGCAAUCGGAAUUCCGUGUGUAGCGGUGAAAUGCGUAGAUAUCAGGAGGAACACCGGUGGCGAAGGCGGCUUACUGGACCAUGACUGACGUUGAGGCUCGAAAGCGUGGGGAGCGAACAGGAUUAGAUACCCGCGUAAA